rnacentral:rRNA from 1 species
UACAGAGGUGGCAAGCGUUGUUCGGAAUUACUGGGCGUAAAGGGCGCGUAGGCGGCCAUCUAAGUCAGACGUGAAAUCCCCCGGCUUAACCUGGGAACUGCGUCUGAUACUGGACGGCUCGAGUAUGGGAGAGGGAUGCAGAAUUCCAGGUGUAGCGGUGAAAUGCGUAGAUAUCUGGAGGAAUACCGGUGGCGAAGGCGGCAUCCUGGACCGGCAUUGACGCUGAGGAGCGAAAGCCAGGGGAGCAAACGGG